GGGGGACGGUGUGGGCGGGGCAUCGCGAGAGUAGGCGGGGCUGAGGUGAGGUUGGAGGGUGCUGGGGGGCCGCUGCACGCUGAGGGCGGGGUGGCCGUGCGCUCCUCCGAGGCUGCGGCCUUUCAGGGACUGCUGAGACCUAAGGGCAGCCCGGGCCGCACCAGAGACAGUGAGGCCGUGCGACGAGCAGCAGCGUUACAUGGGAGAUGCAGUGGAGAGCAGAGGGAAAGAGGCAGCUAUGUGGUGGUGUCCAGAACAGGCACACGAAAGCAGGAGGGCUGAAACGGGUGCUGUUCUGCCCGGCUUUUGAAAGAAAAGCAGAGGCAACACACGUAAACGGGAGCAACAGACAUCCAUAUGUAUCCACACGCAGCUGUGAUGAGGAAAAGUCAAAGAUACCUUUUGGACUAAGUUCUGGCUGCUGAAAGAGUUUAUCGUGUGUUUCAAAGGAGAAAUAUUAUGAACUUAUUACUGCUGUUAACCAGAAGCUCUUAUUUAAUAGGGAAUGAUGGAAUAAAAGAAUCAAGGUUUGCCUCAA